ensembl:lncRNA novel transcript
GGUUGCAGCUUCCGCUUCUCUCUCUUGACCCGGUCGUGCCUGGAGGAAGACGCCGAGGCGGGAGGUUUAAGUAUCCCGGUUUAAGUCUCCUUAGGCGAGGAAGGCUUCUCUUUCUAGCAGGUCCAGAUAUCCUGAGUCUCCCGGAAACUGCAGGAGGGGACAGGACCCGACUUCGAGACUGUAGGGUGGGGUGAGGGGAUGAGGGCCUCCUGACCUGGCUAAGCACCUUGGAGGGAACCCUGGCCACGAGGGAUCCAAGCACCGCUCUGGUUUCCCAGAAGCCUGUGGAUGACUCUCAUCUGGCGGUGGACCUCAGAUGGGGCAGUGAAAGAGGGGAAGACAAAAAUCUGGCGAGCGAGCUGCCCGGGCCGAGACUGGCCACUUCAAACAGCCCUUCAAACAAAAGGAGACGACGAAAAGAAAGCCCCACCUGUCUCCAGUGUUUGCUAAAAUAAUAAUAAAUAGAUUUCGUUUAAUAAAUAAUUACAAGAGAUUGUAAA